GACGAACGCUGGCGGCGCGCCUAACACAUGCAAGUCGAACGGAGCUUGAAGAGCUUGCUUUUUAAGCUUAGUGGCGAACGGGUGAGUAACGCGUGAGUAACCUGCCCUGGAGUGGGGGACAACAGUUGGAAACGACUGCUAAUACCGCAUAAGCCCACGGCCCGGCAUCGGGCUGCGGGAAAAGGAUUUAUUCGCUUCAGGAUGGACUCGCGUCCAAUUAGCUAGUUGGUGAGGUAACGGCCCACCAAGGCGACGAUUGGUAGCCGGACUGAGAGGUUGAACGGCCACAUUGGGACUGAGACACGGCCCAGACUCCUACGGGAGGCAGCAGUGGGGGAUAUUGCACAAUGGGGGAAACCCUGAUGCAGCGACGCCGCGUGGAGGAAGAAGGUUUUCGGAUUGUAAACUCCUGUCGUUAGGGACGAUAAUGACGGUACCUAACAAGAAAGCACCGGCUAACUACGUGCCAGCAGCCGCGGUAAAACGUAGGGUGCAAGCGUUGUCCGGAAUUACUGGGUGUAAAGGGAGCGCAGGCGGACCGGCAAGUUGGAAGUGAAAACUAUGGGCUCAACCCAUAAAUUGCUUUCAAAACUGCUGGCCUUGAGUAGUGCAGAGGUAGGUGGAAUUCCCGGUGUAGCGGUGGAAUGCGUAGAUAUCGGGAGGAACACCAGUGGCGAAGGCGACCUACUGGGCACCAACUGACGCUGAGGCUCGAAAGCAUGGGUAGCAAACAGGAUUAGAUACCCUGGUAGUCCAUGCCGUAAACGAU
rnacentral:rRNA from 1 species